CAUGACUAUGGCCAGGUGGACGCCUACAUCAACAACCUUAUGGCAGAAGUCCCUUCCGUCUGUCAGGACGCGGCCAUCGUGGGCUACAAGGACUCGUCCUCCAUCUGGGCCGCCCUCUCCUCGAAAACCUUCGCCAGCAUCACGCCAGCUGAGGCUAGUGUCCCAGCUGGCAAAGACUGGUCAAGUGUUUUUGUGAAUAGGCUGACGCUUGGGGGCCAGAAAUGUUCAGUGAUCCGGGACUCACUGCUGCAGGAUGGGGAAUUUUGCAUGGAUCUUAGUAUACCAAGAGUACCGGUGGAGCCCCCACUUUCAAUGUCACUGUCACCAAGACUGACGCUAGUCCUGCUGAUGGGCAAAGAAAGUGUCCACGGUGGUUUGAUCAACAAGAAAUGUUAUGAAAUGACCUCCCACUUUUGGCGUUCCCAGUACUGCCUUCGUCCCUCUCUUGCCCUUCACCGCCCCCUACAGCUUUGCAUCCCCCUUCCCUACCCAUACACCAUUUUAUUUGGGGGACCAUUAUCCCACACCCCUUAUUGCUGCCAAAACCACGUGGGCUGGGGGACAGGGCUGAUGCCCAGACACGUCCCCCUACCCAUACCCCUCCUGUGUGUGGUUGGAAAACUUUUUUGGGGGAAUUUUUUUUUCUGAAUAAAAAAGAUUCUAC